rnacentral:rRNA from 1 species
CACGUAGGGGACGAGCGUUGUCCGGAAUUAUUGGGCGUAAAGCGCGCGCAGGCGGUUCUUUAAGUCUGAUGUGAAAGCCCACGGCUCAACCGUGGAGGGUCAUUGGAAACUGGAGAACUUGAGUACAGAAGAGGAAAGCGGAAUUCCACGUGUAGCGGUGAAAUGCGUAGAGAUGUGGAGGAACACCAGUGGCGAAGGCGGCUUUCUGGUCUGUAACUGACGCUGAGGCGCGAAAGCGUGGGGAGCAAACAGG